rnacentral:rRNA from 1 species
GGGUAAACCUGCGAAACUCGAAUGAACGAACGGAGAGAUUCAUCGUCACUCCACGGCGUUUCGACGUUGACCACGAUGCCCGAUCGCUUCAGGUCGAUGCGCACGGGUUGCGUCGUUAUACGUUCGGGGACGGCGUGCACUUCUCUCUUAGUAAUACAUCGUGACCCGUUAGACGUCGGUCUAAGCGCUUCACGGGAGUCCAUAUGUUCCAUUCGUGGUACUGUGGACCGUGCGAGUACGCCGACCGGCACUCUGACGGUAUAACAAUUGAAUCGCGCACGCGUUUUAUAUACGCGUCCGGCCCGACGCAAGGUAACGUCGUCAUCGAAGCCCUGCCUAUGUGCGGACGUCGGUGCGGCGCACCUGUUGUCGCCGCCGUGCAGUCUCGGACCGUGCGCGUCUCAGUCAACGAUGAUUCAGUUUCGGGCACUCGCAGGACCCGUCUUGAAACACGGACCAAGGAGUCUAGCAUGUGUGCGAGUCAUUGAGAUUAUAAAACUGAAAGGCACAACGAAAGUGAAGGUGAGCGCUCGACGCUCGCUCAGGGAGGAUGGAGAGUCGGUCUCGAUCGACCUCUCGCACUCCCGAGGCGUCUCGUUUCCAAUCUGUGAAUGCAGGCGCGCUCUGAGCACAGAUGCUGGGACCCGAAAGAUG